UUUGAUAUCAGCAGGAUGUUGCAGUAACAACUGCAGGAACGUGAAGCUCUGGGAUAGAAAAAAGAAACUAAUACAGGGUGGGAACAAAACAGAGUUUUGAUGGCUCCUCUUGACCACGCCGUUGCUUGGAGGCAGGGGCCCCUGGAGCCCCGCUCUCACCAGGCAGAUUUUCCACCCCUUCAUCUUGUAUGCGAUGGGCCGAGCAGGCAGGCUCCAUUUGAGUUUUCAUAACAGCAGUCGCUUUGUGGACCAUCAUUUCAACAGGGACUGGAGCGAGACGCAGGAUGUUUUCCCCACCCGUUCGGGUGAAAGACGACGCUCGCACAAACCACAGAAACAGACACACCCACACACGACUAAGAGAAUCUAAAUGUCUCCUGUGGUUUACAGAUGUUUAACAGUACUGCAUUUGGGUAAUCAAACACUCGAACCGUCCCUCUCUCUAUAUCGGUGUCUCUCUGUUUCAUUCUGCGUAGCAAUAGUACACAUGAAACACAAUGCUGUGGCUUCUCUGAAGGUGCUUCCCUGCCCUUGAUGUUUAUUUAUGCAGUUUCUUUUCAACCAAAGCUAUUAGAAAUAUCUCUAUUGUUCAUUUUGCAUCUAUGAUGGAGUAUCAGUAUCAUGUUUGCUAGUUUUUCCAUAUCUUGGAUUGUUUUUUACAUGACUGACACCAGUGCAAGAUGUUUGUGUACAGUUUAUGAACACCAACGGAAGCCGAAUGGACUCUGUACAUGUUGUCAGUGAUUGAAUAACCUCAUCAGCGUUUUCACUGAUUCUGUGUGUGUAUGUGUGUGUGUUUAUUGGCUUUAUUAUUCCUUCCCU